rnacentral:rRNA from 1 species
GACGAACGCUGGCGGCGUGCCUAACACAUGCAAGUCGAGCGGUCCGGCACUCAACUAAGUGCUUACUUAAGGGGAAGGAAGUAUAGUAGAAGAAGAAAGUAAUAAAAGUGGUGCAAAGUAAGGUAAGCACGGAGUUGAGUGCCGGAUAGCGGCGGACGGGUGAGUAACGCGUGGGCAACCUACCCUUAAGACCGGGAUAACACCUCGAAAGGGGUGCUAAUACUGGAUAAGCUCCUUGUAGGGCAUCCUAUGGGGAGGGAAGGUAGCGGAAGCUACCGCUUAAGGAUGGGCCCGCGUCCCAUCAGCUAGUUGGUAGGGUAACGGCCUACCAAGGCGACGACGGGUAGCCGGCCUGAGAGGGUGGUCGGCCACACUGGGACUGAGACACGGCCCAGACUCCUACGGGAGGCAGCAGUGGGGAAUCUUGCGCAAUGGGCGAAAGCCUGACGCAGCGACGCCGCGUGAGCGAAGAAGGCCUUCGGGUCGUAAAGCUCGACUAGUGUGGGAAGAAUAGAUGACGGUACC